GAUGAACGCUGGCGGCGUGCUUAACACAUGCAAGUCGAACGAUGAAGCCCAGCUUGCUGGGUGGAUUAGUGGCGAACGGGUGAGUAACACGUGAGUAACCUGCCCUAACUCUGGGAUAAGCCUGGGAAACUGGGUCUAAUACCGGAUAGGAGCGUCCACCGCAUGGUGGGUGUUGGAAAGAUUUAUCGGUUUUGGAUGGACUCGCGGCCUAUCAGCUUGUUGGUGAGGUAAUGGCUCACCAAGGCGACGACGGGUAGCCGGCCUGAGAGGGUGACCGGCCACACUGGGACUGAGACACGGCCCAGACUCCUACGGGAGGCAGCAGUGGGGAAUAUUGCACAAUGGGCGCAAGCCUGAUGCAGCGACGCCGCGUGAGGGAUGACGGCCUUCGGGUUGUAAACCUCUUUCAGUAGGGAAGAAGCGAAAGUGACGGUACCUGCAGAAGAAGCACCGGCUAACUACGUG
rnacentral:rRNA from 1 species